rnacentral:misc_RNA from 1 species
GGAAAGCAAGAGCCCUGUGUACAAGAUUGAUAGCACCUCUGCAACUGACAUAUUGUCGUUGUUCCUGGCUGCAGCAAUCAAUCCGCUGAAUCUUAAAAGACACGGAUCCUCAAGGACAGUUCGAGAUUUCUUUACUGUUUAUAGAAGUGCAAUGUAUUGUAGCGAUUCCGAAUUUGAAGAUUACAAGAAAUACCUUGAUGCCGGAACUAAUCAAGAUA